rnacentral:tRNA from 1 species
GGCAACGUGGCCGAGUGGUCUAAGGCGCUGGAAUUAGGUUAGUCAGCUUUCCAAAAAGGAAACUUACGUAAUAUCCAGUCCGAAAGGGCGUGAGUUCGAACCUCACCGUUGUCA